rnacentral:lncRNA from 1 species
GCUCCUGAGCCGUUUUCGAUGAUGGAGUUUCUGAAUCGACGAUCGACUCCGUUAAACUUGAUCUAGUAUAUUUGAAGCUUUUAGGAAAUAAUUUUUGCGAUUUUUCGAUAUCAUUUACCUACCAAUCGAAAUGAUUCAAAAUCAAUAAUUUUUAACGGCUGAAAAUAAAAAUCCUAUAAAAAGUGGUGAUAUAGCACUAAAAUUUUCGAUCCGAAAUAUUGAUCUUGUUGUAGAUAGUAUAAAGAAUUUUGUAUCAAAAUUUCAUCUGAUUUGAAUACUUUUACACCGUUAAACUUGAAAACGGCAGAUAUCAACCAUUAAAAAUUAUGGUUUUGAAUCCUUUCGAUCACUAGGUAAAUGAUAUCAAAAAAUUGCAAAAAUUAUUUUCAAGAAGCUUCAAAUACGCUAGAUCAAGUUUAACAGAGCCGAUCGUCGAUUCGGAAACUCCAUCAUCGAAAAUGGCUCAGGAGCACGGAGGCCUCCGUGCUCCUGAGAGCACAGCAGCCCUGCUAUAUAUAUAUAUAUAUAUAUAUAUAUAUAUGUGUGUGUGUGUGUGUGUGUGUGUGUGUGAAUUUUGCUACUAUACUAUCGAUAGUACCAAACACUUGGUGCUAUCGAAUUUUCAACCGUUGGAUAAAAGGAUGUGCGGUUAUGAUGAUAGUGAUUAUCCGUUAGGAUGAUAGUGGUCUAUUAGUGUUGAGUGGGUAGUUGGUUGAAUAGUAUAAUCUAACAGGUGGAAAUGAUCAAAAGGUAGAUCGAACAGCAGAAAAUUCGAUAGUAACAAGAACUUGGUACUACUGAUAGUAUAAUACCCGGACUCUAUAUAUAUAUAUAUAUAUAUAUAGCAUUAUUAUUAUUAUUAUUAUUAUUUUGAGAGAUAGGUAACACGCUACCCGUUUCGUUUAUUUCAUUUAGAAAUAAACUUAGCAAGAAAUGUGAAUCAAUUAGGAUUCGAACUUGGAUCUCGGAUACCAACCACUAAGCCCUUUCUCACUUGCUGUAGGGACGGUCGGUUAUUAUCAUUAUUAUUAUUUGAACCAGAGAUCACCCAC